rnacentral:rRNA from 1 species
GAUGAACGCUGGCGGCGUGCCUAACACAUGCAAGUCGAACGGAGUCCAGCCUUUAAGACCUUCGGGUCAAAGAGGGGAAGCCUGAGUGGCGGACGGGUGAGUAACACGUGGGCAACCUGGCUCAUAGAGGGGGAUAACAGAGAGAAAUUUCUGCUAAUACCGCAUAAGCACACCCUGCCGCAUGGCAGAGGGUGAAAAGAGAAUCGCUAUGAGAUGGACCCGCGUCUGAUUAGCCAGUUGGCAGGGUAAGAGCCUACCAAAGCGACGAUCAGUAGCCGAUCUGAGAGGAUGAACGGCCACAUUGGGACUGAGACACGGCACAGACUCCUACGGGAAGCAGCAGUGGGGGAUAUUGCACAAUGGGGGGAACCCUGAUGCAGCGACGCCGCGUGAGUGAAGAAGUAUUUCAGUAUGUAAAGCUCUAUCAGCAGGGAAGAUAAUGACAGUACCUGAAUAAGAAGCCCCGGCUAACUACGUG